rnacentral:rRNA from 1 species
UUUUUAGAGUUUGAUCCUGGCUCAGGACGAACGCGGGCGGCGUGCUUAAUACAUGCAAGUCGAGCGGACAGAUGGGAGCUUGCUCCCUGAUGUUAGCGGCGGACGGGUGAGUAACACGUGGGUAACCUGCCUGUAAGACUGGGAUAACUCCGGGAAACCGGGGCUAAUACCGGAUGGUUGUCUGAACCGCAUGGUUCAGACAUAAAAGGUGGCUUCGGCUACCACUUACAGAUGGACCCGCGGCGCAUUAGCUAGUUGGUGAGGUAACGGCUCACCAAGGCGACGAUGCGUAGCCGACCUGAGAGGGUGAUCGGCCACACUGGGACUGAGACACGGCCCAGACUCCUACGGGAGGCAGCAGUAGGGAAUCUUCCGCAAUGGACGAAAGUCUGACGGAGCAACGCCGCGUGAGUGAUGAAGGUUUUCGGAUCGUAAAGCUCUGUUGUUAGGGAAGAACAAGUGCCGUUCAAAUAGGGCGGCACCUUGACGGUACCUAACCAGAAAGCCACGGCUAACUACGUGCCAGCAGCCGCGGUAAUACGUAGGUGGCAAGCGUUGUCCGGAAUUAUUGGGCGUAAAGGGCUCGCAGGCGGUUUCUUAAGUCUGAUGUGAAAGCCCCCGGCUCAACCGGGGAGGGUCAUUGGAAACUGGGGAACUUGAGUGCAGAAGAGGAGAGUGGAAUUCCACGUGUAGCGGUGAAAUGCGUAGAGAUGUGGAGGAACACCAGUGGCGAAGGCGACUCUCUGGUCUGUAACUGACGCUGAGGAGCGAAAGCGUGGGGAGCGAACAGGAUUAGAUACCCUGGUAGUCCACGCCGUAAACGAUGAGUGCUAAGUGUUAGGGGGUUUCCGCCCCUUAGUGCUGCAGCUAACGCAUAAGCA